rnacentral:lncRNA from 1 species
GGCGGGAGCGGAGCGCGGCGAGCGGAGGCGGCCAGCUGCGCCCGCGCCGCAGCCCCGGCCUCGGCGAGGGCGCGAAUAUUUUUUCAAACGACUCAAACUUUCCUUCCUUCCCUGCUUCCUGGGGUCCCUCUUGCCUGGAAUUGCUCUCCAGAUUCCCGCUGGGCGCCGGGGCGCGAUUCCUCCCUCGGGUGCCUCGGCGGCUCGGCUAACUUCGCGGACCCCAGGAGCCGAGUCGCUCUGCCAGUGGCCGAACCCAGCCCGCGCUGCUACCCCGCUCAAGAGGGCCAGGACUGAGGUUCCUUUGCAGCUGGCAGGUGCGCAGCCUGCCCCCUCAGGUCGGGCUGCUGAGCUCUCAGCACCGGGUGCAGGACUGGAGACAGCGAAUUAAGCCCAGAGGAACCCGGGUCUCCCUGCCCCCGCUCCGCGGAGGGGCGUCCCCUGGGCGGGGAAACGACAAGUUUGUCAGUCGUCGGUGGCCUGUUGGAGCCAAGCGCCGCCGCAGCAGCGGAGAGGUCUUUGGAGCCCAGCACCCCCAGCGGACAGCCCUGGGGACCCGGGGCGGCUCGGCGACCGGGCUUCUUGGGCCGGGGCGCUGGCUGCUGCGCCGGGCGCGCCAAGGCACCCGGGGCUGGGCCAGCGCCCCCUGCGUCCCCAUCAGUGCAGCGGCCCCACCGGAGAAACCCGGGUCGCCGCCGCCGUCACCGCCUACUCUUCAGUCCCCUGGUCGCCGCCCUCUCGGUCGCCUCUCAGGGAAAGAGGGGGACAUAGGGGGUGUCGCGGGGCCCCGGCGGAUGCGCCCCCCGCUGCCUCUCGGGCUGCGCCGCCUCGCGGGGAUGAAGCACCGGCCGUGAAGAUGGAGGUGACCUGCCUUCUACUUCUGGCGCUGAUCCCCUUCCACUGCCGGGGACAAG